GGGAAAUAGCUCAGCUGGUAGAGCACAGGACUUGGAUGCCUGAGGCAUUUGGUUCAAUCCCCAAACCCA
rnacentral:tRNA from 1 species